rnacentral:rRNA from 1 species
UACGGGGGGAGCAAGCGUUGUUCGGAUUUACUGGGCGUAAAGGGCGCGUAGGCGGUCAGCACAAGUCAGUUGUGAAAUCUCCGGGCUUAACUCGGAAAGGUCAACUGAUACUGUGCGACUAGAGUGCAGAAGGGGCAACUGGAAUUCUCGGUGUAGCGGUGAAAUGCGUAGAUAUCAGGAAGAACACCCGUGGCUAAGGCGGUUCUCUAGUACGGUACUGACGCUGAGACGCGAAAGCGUGGGGAGCGAACAGG